AUCGACCUCGGAUCAGGUAGGAAUACC
rnacentral:rRNA from 1 species